GCCGGAGAACUGAGGGGCUGUGGGAGCCUCCCCCAGAGCAUGGAGGAAAGACUGUGUCACCUGCUGUGUGGACUGUGCUCUGUCCAUCUGGACACAUCAGAGCCCCUCCCAGGCGCCUCCAGGUCUCAAGAGCUGGAAUGCUUUCACCCUGAGAUUUCAGAAGACAGCCCUGUGCCCCUCCAGAGUAGGCUCCUGGGGACAGGGCUCUUCUUCAGGCCACAGAUUCCUGGCCCCUGUGAGCCCACUCCAGUCCCUGCCCUCAACUUAGUGCAGGGCUAAGGUCUGGCUGAGGGCACAGGGAUCCAGCCAAGAGGACCCCAAGGCAGCAGGAAAGAGCUGGUCCUAAGCAGAAGCGGGCAUGGCCAUGCAGUGGAAUGGAGUCAGGAGCAUAGGCCUCCAAGACCUGUGUGCAUCCCAGGUGUCUGUAACCAGGUCCAAGGGCCAGGUCCAGAUUCACGCAGCUGAAGAUUCAUGGAGUUCUACUGUGCCCGUGGAUGACAGUCCCCAGGAACUUACUAAUAAAUCUGACAGAUAUGUUCUUAGCCCAGGUUAGCUGG